UAAUACUAUUAAAAAUAGGCAAUGAUUGUACACAUUGAGCUAUAAUCUAACAAUAAUCGAAUAAACACAAAAAGAAUUUGUAAAGAAGAAGUUUUCAUCGAAUUCCGUCUUCUCCUACAAGUCAUGUGUGCCAACUAUGUUGCGCGUGUCAAGUUUCGUUGAAAUCCGAACCCGUUUGAGCAUUUUAGCGCGUCAUCCGAUUUGAAAAAGAGUUAUUAACUAAUAAGUUUUCAUAAACUGAAAUUAGGCUCUAGAUUCAAAACCGGGAUUCGGUUUCGAGUUCCGUCUUCUUCUACAAGUCAUGUGUGCCUAGUAAGUUGUGCGUGUCAAGUUUCGUUGACAUCCGAACCCGUUUGAGCAUUUUAGUGUGUCAACUGGUUUGAAAAAGAGUUAUUAAGUAACAAGUUUUCAUUAACAAAAAUUAAGCUCUAGAUUCAAAAUCGAGAAUCAGUUUCGAGUUCCGUUUUUAGCUGUGGAUUGUGUUACAUAAACUCUUAUAUUUCCCCCAUUGGAUAUGAUAUGACCAAGGUAAGGGCCCGAGAUAUGUGUUAGACACCCCUACCCAAUUUAGAUACUUAGAUCCACUAGUUUUAUAUAGAUAGAUAGAUAACUUCUUUUUUUUGUUUUUUGAUAACCAGAUGUCCGGACCAGCUUAUGCGCACCUCAACUAAUCCCGGACCCUGAAGUUAACGAUCAGCCCAACCUUCAGCGGCCCUAAGGUUUGGGAUGUUUGGCCUUCAUGAGAUUCAACCCUGCAACCUCCUGGGUGGUAAGCCCUUUGGUUGCCUUCUUCUC